rnacentral:rRNA from 1 species
UGGGGAAUAUUGCACAAUGGGGGGAACCCUGAUGCAGCGACGCCGCGUGAGCGAGGAAGUAUUUCGGUAUGUAAAGCUCUAUCAGCAGGGACGAAAAAAGACGGUACCUGACUAAGAAGCCCCGGCUAACUACGUGCCAGCAGCCGCGGUAAUACGUAGGGGGCAAGCGUUAUCCGGAUUUACUGGGUGUAAAGGGAGCGUAGACGGCAAGGCAAGCCAGAAGUGAAAGGGCAGGGCUCAACCCUGUACAUGCUUUUGGAACUGUGGUGCUAGAGUGCAGGAGAGGUAAGUGGAAUUCCUAGUGUAGCGGUGAAAUGCGUAGAUAUUAGGAGGAACACCAGUGGCGAAGGCGGCUUACUGGACUGUAACUGACGUUGAGGCUCGAAAGCGUGGGGAGCAA